CAAUUAAAAAAUAGGCAGAUGAUCUGACUAGACAUUUUUCCAAAGAAGACAUACAGAUGGCCAACAGGUAGAAGAAGAGGUGGAUUGGAAGAAUUAAUAUCAUUUAAGUGUCCAUAUUACCCCAAAUGAUCUACAGAUUCAAUGCAAUCUCUAUUACUUAUAAUCAGGAAAAUGCAAAGUAAAACCACAAUGAGAUACCAUCUUACACCUGUCUGAAGGAUAGCAUCAAAAAGACAAGAAACAACAAGUGUUGCUGAGGAUAUGGAUGUGCACUGUUGGUGGGAAUGUUAAUUGGUGUAGCCACUAUGGAAAACAGUAGGGAGGUUCCUCAAAAAAUUAAAAGCUGAACUACCAUAUGAUCCAGAAUUCAAUUCCUGAGUGUUUAUCUAAAGGAAUUGAAAAUACCGACUCAAAAACAUAUCAGCUACCCUCACAGAACUAGGGAGAGGGGUACAGUGGCUUAUAAAAGGGGAUUUGGGUUGGAAAUCAUACAUCUAUUGCAAUAGAAAAGAAGGACCUACAAUUGGCGUAAUUCACAAGAAUCAUAACAAUUGCUUCCCUCUGGCCCAAUCUAAGGAGAAAUUAACUAUCAGCAAUGACUGCAGAAGGGGUGAGUCUGGAUGAUCAUCUUCGUAUCAUGGGAUAAUGAAAGCUAUACAUGACUGGAGAACCAGGGCUAGGCUUUGAACAAAAGGGCAGUCAAUCCAUAUGUUGUCCAAUGAACUAUAAUAGGAUCAGAUUUAAAAGAUGGCCUGGGGUGAUCAGCUUUUUUAGUUUAGGUGUUUUUGAAGUGGGCAGUACUGGGAGCAAAAAUUGGAGAGUCAGAGAGGUCAUGAUAAUAUAAUGUAUAGGCUGGAGUUACAAGCAAGCAAGCAUGAAGCAGAGAAAAGGCAUACAGACAGUAUAGGGUGAGGAAAUUAUUUGCUGUAGAAUUGGAAAAUGGAAGACAAAGUAGAAACAUAAAGGGUAGCUAAAUCAUAUUGGUAGAACUCCAGAGCCAAGAAUCGCAGAAUCCUGGUGUUAAUUUUAUUUCAUCAGAUGCGGAAAGAUUUCAAAGAGCAAGAUCAGGAAACACUAGACUGGAUAAAUUGCCUCUGAGAAGGCAGACACUUUAUUUGUAUAAUCUUGUUUUCUUUUAAACACUGAAAUGCUUCUGGUAUGCUUAUGCUUAACAGUGGAAUUGUUCUGCAUAAGACAGACUAGAGAAUCCUGGAGGCCAGGGUGCUACCAGAAGGAGAAUGGUAAAGAAGGUGACUUUGAAGAAGACACAUGCCCAGGCAGAAUUUUAAAGUUGUGAAGUGUGCAAUGUAAACGAAUUUACAUAGUGAUUUUUUUUUUUGGAUGAAGUGUGACUGGACUAUGGGGAUGAGGGAGCAAUUGAUAUCUGGACUACCCAAUAUUAUUUCCCUCAGGAAGGGAGAGAGGUGUGCAAAGAAUUCCAAGUGAACUCCCAGGAAGAGCACUUUCAAUCCAGGAAGGAUUUCUGGAGGAGCAGAAGCCAGAGACAGACCCUAAGGAUGGACAGGGUAAACCUCUGAGAAAAUAUGAAAAUAACGAGCAUCAGGGAGACCUAGUGACCAGCACCAAGUCAGUAGGCUGAGGAAGGCAGCAGCAAUUCAUCCUCUAACUGAAUGUUAUCUGGACUGUUGAAGACGGAAAAAAUCAGCUCAUGAGCAGAGCUAAGUAAGAACAGUUGACCCAACCUGUAUUCUUGUGGGUGACAGGGUUGUUGGAAUGAGACUGGCAGAGUGGCCCAGGGAUAGAUGAUUGAAUGAAGCAUGUUUUGGGCCAGGAAUUAAGACAGCAGCUUUUGUGUUAAAAAAAAAAAAAAAAAACAAUCCUGACCUUAUGAGUAGAGCCUUUUAGCACAUGCCAACAUAAGGACCCCCUUCCUCUCAUUGUCGGGGGGAGGUGGACUGUCUCACCUGACAGAUCAGCAAUCCAAAUGGGAAAGGAUACAUUUCAUGUUGCUCCAAGCCUCUCAGCCUGCAGGUACACAGUCAGACAAGGCAACAACAGGGGCUAGAACGUGUUCUGCCUCUGGGGAGUAGGAGAUGGCUGUAUGUUUGUGGGGCAAGGGAGGAGCUGCAGAAUUACUGUUUCCUAAAAGGCCUUGUAAGGUUUUUAAGUCUUUAUGUGCAUAUAUGUCUGAUUUUUUUAAAUGAACUAAGAACUCUAACGAGACUCAAUUUUUCACCUGUCAAAUUAGCAAAGAUGCUAGUGAGCCUGGAAUGAAAACACUAGUAAGUAUAUAAUGGGAUACUUCAGUUACUGCUGGCGGCAGAGUUAAUUGGUGUGACCUUUCUAGACAGCAAUUUAUCUUUCUGAAGAGUCUUAAGAAACCUGAUGUCCUCUGAUCAGUAAUUCUGCCCCUGAGAAUACACCAUAAUAAAAUGGUCCUAAAUGCAGAAGAGAGCUUUUCAUUCAAAGAAGUUUAUAGGAUCAUCAUUAAUAAUUGUGAAAAACUGGAAACAAACAGAAUGUCCAACCAUAAGGAAAAAAAUUAAAUAAACCAUGGUACAUUCACUCUUUAAAAUAUUAUGUACCACUAAAAAUAUUUUAAAAGAAAAUGUAAUAAAAUAUUAGUAGAAUAAUGGUAAGAGUAGGAUACAAAGUCAUAUAUACAAUUUUUUUAAGUGCACAUAUUUUUGUCAAAAGCUUAGAAGACAAAAGACUUAAACAAUUAGAAAAAAUAGUUGAAGGAAGCUGGUAGGAAAAUUGAGUUUCCCCUCUUUGUUUCCAUUUGCCCGAAUUUUCAAGUCUGAUCAUGAAUAUGUUUUGAGUGAAAAAUUAAGUUAUAUGCAAUUAACAAUGUAAACGUAACCAUCAGAAAGAAAGAGGGGUUGUCAUAAAGGAGGCUGAGCCCCGUAGCACACUGUCUGUCAUUAAGGCCAAAGGGAAGUCCCAACACUUGAAAAAUGUAAUUUAAUGUUCUAGUGUAGCUGUUACAGGAAUAGCUUUCAAAAUGAAGCUCAUAAUAGAACCUAAAAUUAAUAAAGGUUCUGGAUAUGUGGCAGAGCUUGGUUUAUUUGCAGUCAGUUGGCUCGGAAACUUUGUUGUGAUUAACCUGCAUAAGAAAGCUGGAAUCGAACUUGAAUUUUUUAUCAUAUUGCAUUCAAUCUUGUUUAUUCCACUGAAAAAAACUCAUAAUGUAUUGGGAAAGGUUGGAGGUAGGAAGUGAGGAGAAAUUACAGACAAACAUGUUUUAGAUUAGAGACUAUUCUAGACCAUGGCUCUGAGGUGGAAUUCAUCAUUGGCACGAAUGCUUCUGCACCAUGUGCAGUUUUGAAAAAGAGCAAAGGUGUGUGUACGCCGGGUUUCCUCAGGUCUCUCGUGUUUCUGUGUAGUCACUUCAAACAGGAUUUGAGUUAGGAGACGGGAGUCAGGGCUUCUAAUCUGUAACCCACUAACAUAAUUUUUAAAAAAAUUUCUUUCACAGGACUGGUUACUACUCUUAGUGCCUAGCUUUUCAGAAAUGUUUAAAAGCACAAUAAGUAACACCUCUUGGUUACUGCCUUAAAAUGUAAAAGAAAAAAAUCCUGCCAUUUGCAGCAACAUGGAUGGACCUUGAGGGCAUUAUGCUAAG